AGAUUAGCAAAAAGCUUGAUCACACCAUAUCUCUUAAUCAGAAUCCUAAUCCAACCAAAUCAAGAAUAGUUGGAGAAAAACUCAUCCCUAAUACUAAUCAAUAAUAGGGUUUUGGUCAAGGUUUUUAAGUUGAUGGGAUGGCUUAAGAUUAGGCAAAGAUGCGCAAAUUCUUAUGCAAUCUCUCUCCAGUUGAGCACAAAAAGGUCUUUAAUUAAGGUGGGUCAAAAAAAGUGAUCACAUCUU
rnacentral:misc_RNA from 1 species